rnacentral:lncRNA from 1 species
GCUGGUUUGUGUUCUGCAGGAGCAGAAGAUUCCUCUAUAAAGGUUCCUCUGUGGACGAUGUGAGUGAGAUCAGUGUGGCAGAAGACACCAUGUGCCAGAGCGCCACCACCAGCCUUCCCCAGGUAAAAGCAAGAACCCGCACCACCACAGGGGGGUGCAGUCACGCUAACCUCCAGGUCAGGUCCAAGAUCUGAAGCCUUUCUGUGUGCAGCUCUGUCCCGCAGCGGAGCGGCGAGUGGCGCCCACAGACUCUCCAGAAACCGCCAGGAGUUCCUCCUUCCCUCCAGAAACAGACACAGGAUCUUGGUCCAAACACAUCAGGUACCAGAGUCCUGCAGCACCUACUGUUGUCAUGGAGACCACCCAACCGGACAUCAACCCCUCCAGGCCAUCACAGUCGAGCUCCGCGUCGCUCCAGGAUCCUUUCUAACUCCAUCGCGGCGGCACGGUCUCUGCAGAAAAAACUCAAAGCAGCACAAAGUUUUCUGCUGAUCGUCAUCGAAAACAAAGUUAUUGUGACUGAGCGUCGACAGAAGAUAACUACUAUCUGUUUGAAAUGAAGCUCCGCUGCAUGCUGAGCGUGCACACAAAGGUUCAUGCUUCAUGAGCUGCUUCAACUAUUUCUGGUUCAGAGAACACCAUAACAGUGGUUAACACUCUCGGUCCCGGUCCAAAUCCUGGCUGGGUCCUGCGUGUUCAUCUUGUGCAUGCGUGGGUUGUCCGGUUUUCUCCCAAACACAUGAUCCAGAGGUUCACCGCUGACUCUAGAUUGCCCUGAUGUGUGCGUGUGGUCCGGCCACAGACUGGUGACCGGUUCAGAGGACGCCCCCACACUCACGCAACAGUAGCCGGGUUGGCUCCACCCCAAAAGGGGCGGAGUGGGUUCUGAAGACGGAUGGAGAAAAAUAUAAGACGAGGAGUUUUCAAAAGUCUCUUAUUUUCUUCAGUUGUAAAAAAGGGAAAAAACCCUGAAAUGAAGUAUGUAGUCAGAACUUGUCUUGCUGUUCUCUGAAAUAAAGUAAAAUGUUCUAAAC